CCAACUAGGAAAAAGUUCAGCACUGCUUCAGAUGCUCUGAGAUUAGCACAAAUUACAGUCAAAGGGCAAAUAGAAGAUGAAGGAUUCCAGAUCUGGGGCAAAAAUAAGUCAGCUACAGGUAGGGAGGCUUCUCACGCCUGUCAAAAAGGAGAAGAAACUACUUUAUAUUUGAGGGACGUGUCUUGCUGCCAGUCCCUUGUGACUUCAUAGCAAAAACUUUUCACAACAGGAUAUGAAAUAAGCAUGAGAGAUGUGAGCAGGGUCUACUGUUUUCUAAUUCAUCUCAUGAAAAAUAUCACCUCCAAAUCACUCCUGUGAUAGAAUAAGACAACUGUCCAGCAGAGAAGAUGUGAGGAUGAAUCCAUGAAGAAUGGGAAGGAAGAAGAAAGGCAAAGCGGGGAGAUAUUCCAGUUGAAGGAGAUGCUCUUUGGAGGUAAUGGCUGUUUGUCACUGUGUUAAUAUAACCAAGUAGUGUGACCCUUAAACCGCUCCAGGACUAAAGAAACUGUGAGAUACGGGCACUCAAGGAGACAGAAGUAGCCAGGAAACAAUCAGCAGAUGAUCACCACUUGUGCCUACCGAGGAAGAUCUCCUGGACUAAUCUACUCUGACUGCAUACACCAUAUUGCUCUAUGUACUUGCAUAUCAACCAAGAAAACGUCUUAUCCCCCAACUUGGAGAAUUUUUGCUUACUGAACUGAUGGGAAUCUUAAAAUUGAAAAAGAAACAGAAAGCAAUGGUUUUAGGUGAAAGCAUUAUAACAGUGACAUAACUUUUAAUUCUCAUUGAGAAAUUUGCAGUCAUCUUUAUCCAUUCAAAAGAAGUCUCUGAAAUCUUUGGGGCAGGACUGUCUAAUACCUGGCCUAUCUGGCAUCUGUUUAUUUUCCUAUCUAGUUCGUAAAAGCCUUUGAAAUCAUCCUCUACAAGUAUAUACCUGCAUUGACAGGGCUCAGUAGAUAGUAAGGACAGUCAUAAAUUUCCAGAUUGUGAAUUAUGAUAUGCCGACUAUCAGUCCAUUCCACCCAACAGUAUUUCUGGAUAAACCAGGGUUUCAGGUGUGAUGUUCCAGUGACAGUUUGAGAAGCUAAAUUCUGGUUUUUAAAUAAUGUCUAUUUUCUGUCUUGUAUACUGGGCAUGUGUGAGAGCAUGUGUGUGUGAGUGUGUCCUUGUCACUGGGGGAAACAGUUUUUACUGCUAUAGGUAAGAAAGCUUGCAUCCCAAAGAUCAUUUUAAUCCUUAAAUCCAGUUUCUACUAUGAGAAAAAGCUAAGUCCAGAAACUGAUGGGACAUGCUGUCAUGAAAACCAACUGCAUGAUUCCUAUGAACCCUCAUCUGUCCUCCUUUCUGGUAUUAGCUUAAGGAAAAACAAGCAAAAAAAAACCCCAAACAAAACAAAAAAACAUGGACUCUGCCUGAAAAACACCUCACAAGGUGUGACUGAAGAAGUCUAUGUGCAGCCAAUAUCUAUAAUGGGAGGCACAUUUAAUAAGCUGUGUUUAUAACUUGGUUUGAAUCUGGCCAAACACAAAAAAUAUCUCUUUUCUAAUGAAAAGCCAGAUAGAACCUCCAUGCAGAAGUACCAAUUUACUGGUGUUCCCUCUCCUCAGGGUUGUGGCAGGAAAGAUCUUUGCCCAGUUAAGUGUACUUAAAACACGUGAGGCAUCCAGUGAGUACCUUCUUUCACUCUCUCUCCAUAUUUCCCAGUGAAACCAGAAAAAUAUUUACAGGCAGAAAGUGGGUAGUGGAUUACGUAUGUGUUGUAAAAGUGACUAGUUGCCCCUAGAAAAUAAUUAAUAAUUGUAGCAGUGGAUAUAUAUGUAUAGAUUGUAGAAGCUCAAUGUGUCAGAGCUAUCGGGUUCAAAGAGCAGCCGAAGACUGUGAAUACCCAAACUCUGCAACACUGUCCUUCUGGGGUAGAUGUUAGACUGAGGCUGCUGACCAUAUGUCUCCUAUAAGUGAUGAGAAUGAUAAGCAGCCCAGAUCACUGGGAUUCCAAGUCAGCAUCCAGAGGGGUUUCUUUCCAGUCCAUGGAGCUCCUAGGCCAACUUUAUUCUUUAACUGAAUGCUUCAGUACCUAAAGUUAGGAAGAAAUCAAGACUACUAAUAUUGGUACUACUAUUGGUAGUUUAAUAUGAUACCUCUCUAAUACUAAAUAAGGCCAAAUUCUUUUCCCUUUUAAGGACUAGGGAAAUCAAUAGCUUUUAAAAGGUUUUUCCACAGGAUAUUAAUAUCAGUAAUAUUUUAUUUAGAACAUACAUUGAAAAUAAAUAUACAUAUCUGAAACAAAAUGAAGAAUUGCACACACAGAAGUCUGAAAAUUCAUGAAGUCACAUUACUGAAAAAGAUCAUGGCCAAAGACGAAAACAAAAACUGUUUUACAGACCACUUAUACUGCAGCACAAGGAGGACAUACAGAAGAGGAGGUAUCGUUACUAGGAGCAGUAGAGGCUGCAGGAGCUGGUUUCCGUGAGAAACAUCAAGCCUUACACAGAGAUUAGUUUUACUCAUGGCAGCUAUUAUCCAUGACUUACAGAAUUAGCCUUGUUCUCCAUUUUCCAUAUUUGGGCUUCAUCUUCCAGCUGGUGUCAUUCCAGCUUCUCCCAUUGAUCUUUCUGGCACUUGAAACUUGUUACAGCCACAAGCAAAAUAAUUAUCCUUAUUCCCUGGAACACCAUAGUCUAGUUCUGUGGACAACCCUUUGUUAUCCUUCUUUUGCCUCAGACAUGCAGUAUUCUGAAAAUGCCACUUCUUCCUUCAAAUCCACGCUCAGGUACCUUUAUUCAACCCACUUUAUUAAACUUCUUUCCACCUCUGAUUUUAACUAAGAAAGCACUGCCUCUUUGUUCCACAUCCCUAAAAUGCAGUUUUUCUCCUAAAACUAUAGCUGAACAUUUCUUCUUUCUGCUCCACUCUCCUGAAAGCUCAGAGUAUCAGGAUGAACCUGUAAAGACCCUAUGAACAACACAGUUCAGGUGAUAUUCCAGCAUGAAUGAAUGUAUAUACACUUUUGAGUGGUGGGGGGUUACACCGCCUGGAUAGGUGCAAUGUAUACACAGGACUGCUCAGAAAGACAAAUGUUGCUGCUUAGUUCUCCCUUCUCUAGCUUUAAUGCCUUGCCCUAAAACCUCAGUCCUCUUAUCUGCUUUUACAGCUUCUCACAUUGCCCCUGUCAGUUCCACUGAAUAAAUGAUGUCAUCCUUGUCUGCUUGAAUGUUUACUUCUUUCUGCACUGCCCUUGGCACAGAAUACUCUUCCCAAAACUAAUCCAUCCUGAAAGCCAUUUUUCUUUUCCUUCCAAUCUACCCUCAAGG